rnacentral:rRNA from 1 species
UGCAGUCGAACGGUAACAGAUCUAGCUUGCUAGAUGCUGACGAGUGGCGCACGGGUGAGUAACGCGUAUGCAAUCUACCUAUAACUGAGGAAUAGCCCAGAGAAAUUUGGAUUAAAACCUCAUAAUAUUAUUAUUUGGCAUCAUUUAAUAAUUAAAACUUCGGUGGUUAUAGAUGAGCAUGCGUUCUAUUAGUUUGUUGGUGAGGUAAGAGCUCACCAAGACUACGAUAGAUAGGGGGCCUGAAAGGGUGAUCCCCCACACUGGUACUGAGACACGGACCAGACUCCUACGGGAGGCAGCAGUGAGGAAUAUUGCACAAUGGAGGAAACUCUGAUGCAGCCAUGCCGCGUGCAGGAUGACAGCCCUACGGGUUGUAAACUGCUUUUUUACAAGAAGAAACCUUGGUACGUGUACCAACUUGACGGUAUUGUAAGAAUAAGCACCGGCUAACUCCGUGCCAGCAGCCGCGGUAAUACGGAGGGUGCAAGCGUUAUCCGGAUUUAUUAGGUUUAAAGGGUUCGCAGGCGGAAUUUUAAGUCAGUGGUGAAAGCCUAUAGCUCAACUAUAGAACUGCCAUUGAUACUGAUAUUCUUGAGUAUAGAUGAAGUGGGCGGAAUAUGUCAUGUAGCGGUGAAAUGCAUAGAUAUGACAUGGAACACCAAUUGCGAAGGCAGCUCACUAAACUAUUACUGACGCUCA